GCUACUCGAGGUAGACAAGGUUCUCUACACGCAACGUAAGUUGUUAUCAGGGAUGAAGGGUUGACCGUCCUUCCGGAUAGC
rnacentral:ncRNA from 12 species